AGUGGAUGGGGAACAACCUAGUUGUGCGUGUGUAAAGGUAGUGUCAAGAAAAGCGGUGAUCAUGAUGAAAAUCAAUUCCCGGUACCCGAAACCGACACAGGUGGGCAAGUAGAGAAUACUAAGGGGCGCGAGGUAACUCUCUCCAAGGAACUCGGCAAAAUGACCCCGUAACUUAGGGAGAAGGGGUGCCACCGAGAGGUGGUCGCAGUGAAGAGGCCCAGGCGACUGUUUAGCAAAAACAUAGGUCUCUGCAAACUCGAAAGAGGAGGUAUAGGGGCUGACGCCUGCCCAGUGCCGGAAGGUUAAAGAAGUUGGUCAGUCUUAGGAUGAAGCUAGCGACUGAAGCCCCGGUGAACGGCGGCCGUAACUAUAACGGUCCUAAGGUAGCGAAAUUCCUUGUCGGGUAAGUUCCGACCCGCACGAAAGGCGUAACGAUCUGGGCGCUGUCUCGGAGAGAGGCUCGGCGAAAUAGGAUUGUCUGUGAAGAUACGGACUACCUGCAUUUGGACAGAAAGACCCUAUGAAGCUUUACUAUAGCUUGGAAUUGUGUUCGGGCUUCCUGUGCGCAGGAUAGGUGGGAGGCGUAGAAGGUAUUCUUGUGGGGAUACUGGAGGCAACGGUGAGAUACCACUCUCAGGAGGCUAGAAUUCUAACUUAAUUAAGGACAGUUUCAGGUGGGUAGUUUGACUGGGGCGGUCGCCUCCAAAAAGGUAACGGAGGCGUACAAAGGUUCCCUCAGACUGGUUGGAAAUCAGUCGCAGAGUGCAAAGGCAGAAGGGAGCUUGACUGCGAGAAGUACAGUUCGAGCAGGGUGGAAACACGGUCUUAGUGAUCCGACGGUGCUGUGUGGAAGGGCCGUCGCUCAACGGAUAAAAGUUACUCUAGGAUAACAGGCUGAUCUCCCCCAAGAGUUCACAUCGACGGGGAGGUUUGGCACCUCGAUGUCGGCUCAUCGCAACCUGGGGCGGAAGUACGUCCCAAGGGUUGGGCUGUUCGCCCAUUAAAGCGGUACGUGAGCUGGGUUCAGAACGUCGUGAGACAGUUCGGUCCAUAUCCGAUGUAGGCGUGAGAAUAUUGAGAGGAGCCUUCCUUAGUACGAGAGGACCGGGAAGGACGCACCGCUGGUGUACCUGUUAUGAUGCCAAUUGUAAACGCAGGGUAGCCAAGUGCGGAGAGGAUAACCGCUGAAAGCAUCUAAGUGGGAAGCCCACCUCAAGAUGAGUAUUCUGGUGUAAGGUCACGGGAAGACGACCCGUAAAUAGGCACGAGGUGGAAGUGCAGAGAUGUAUGAAGCCGAAGUGUACUAAUAGACCGUCGGCUUGA
rnacentral:rRNA from 1 species